UACAGAGGUGGCAAGCGUUGUUCGGAAUUACUGGGCGUAAAGGGCGCGUAGGCGGCCGCCUAAGUCGGACGUGAAAUCCCCAAGCUUAACUUGGGAACUGCGUCUGAUACUGGGCGGCUUGAGUUCGGGAGAGGAAUGUGGAAUUCCAGGUGUAGCGGUGAAAUGCGUAGAUAUCUGGAGGAACACCGGUGGCGAAGGCGGCAUUCUGGACCGAAACUGACGCUGAGGCGCGAAAGCCAGGGGAGCAAACGGG
rnacentral:rRNA from 1 species